rnacentral:rRNA from 1 species
UGCGUAGGUGGUUGUUUAAGUCUGUUGUGAAAGCCCUGGGCUCAACCUGGGAAUUGCAGUGGAUACUGGGCAACUAGAGUGUGGUAGAGGGUAGUGGAAUUCCCGGUGUAGCAGUGAAAUGCGUAGAGAUCGGGAGGAACAUCCAUGGCGAAGGCAGCUACCUGGACCAACACUGACACUGAGGCACGAAAGCGUGGGGGAGCAAACA